CCUACGGGAGGCAGCAGUGGGGAAUAUUGGACAAUGGGCGAAAGCCUGAUCCAGCAAUGCCGCGUGAGUGAUGAAGGCCUUCGGGUCGUAAAGCUCUUUUACCAGGGAUGAUAAUGACAGUACCUGGAGAAUAAGCUCCGGCUAACUCCGUGCCAGCAGCCGCGGUAAUACGGAGGGAGCUAGCGUUGUUCGGAAUUACUGGGCGUAAAGAGUACGUAGGCGGUUAUUCAAGUCAGAGGUGAAAGCCCGGGGCUCAACCCCGGAACUGCCUUUGAAACUAGAUAACUAGAGUCUUGGAGAGGUUAGUGGAAUUCCGAGUGUAGAGGUGAAAUUCGUAGAUAUUCGGAAGAACACCAGUGGCGAAGGCGACUAACUGGACAAGUACUGACGCUGAGGUACGAAAGCGUGGGGAGCAAACAGGAUUAGAUACCCUGGUAGUCCACGCCGUAAACGAUGAUAACUAGUUGUUCGGUCACUUGGUGACUGAGUGACGCAGCUAACGCAUUAAGUUAUCCGCCUGGGGAGUACGGUCGCAAGAUUAAAACUCAAAUGAAUUGACGGNUGNGAGUUGCGAGCGACACGAGGGAGAGG
rnacentral:rRNA from 1 species